GUGCUGCACAUGCUGCAGGCAUGCACUAGCGAACAAAGAAGAUGUACUUUCUGCCCUUGAGAAGCUUCUGAUCCAGAGGGAGACAAGACAAAUCUAGAUGUUUGGACAUGAACUUGAUGGGUGCUCACCUUGUUAUUCUCCUGGAGAAGGUUACCUCUGGAAUGUUGAUUGCCUGACACAUGUGCCUGUUCAGCAAGAGGGCACAGCACAUUUCUGAUGCUGGAGAAUGGCCUCAGGCAAAGAGAUGCAGGCUGCAUGUUCAGAAAGCUCUGUGGAUGCCUCUGGAGUAGAAGGAAGGGAUGCGGUGACUAAAUUCCAAGGGGCAGGAGAUAACAUCUCUGGACAAAGCCAGCUGCCAUGCUGUGAGGACACUCAGGCAGCCCUGCCAAGAGGCCUUGGUGGGGAGGGACUUCCAACUGCUAGGUGUGUGAGCUGUCUCAGAAGCACAUUCUCCAGCCCUGGUCCAGCCUGGAGAUAACUGCAGCCCCAACCCACAGCUUGAAUGCAACCUUGUGAGAG